UAUAUACUCCCUCCGUCCGGAAAUACUUGUCAUCAAAAUGGAUAAAAGGGAUGUAUCUAGAUGUAUUUUAGUUUUAGAUACAUCUCUUUUUGUCCAUUUUGAUGACAAGUAUUUUUGGACGGAGGGAGUAUAAU
rnacentral:pre_miRNA from 1 species